UCCAACUCAAACAAUUCUAUAUGCUCUCAUUAACUGAAGCACAUGCAUGAGAUAUCCCAGUAAUUGAUUUCUGGAAAGCAACUGGCCAAGGAAGGACAUCAGCAGGCUGGCAGCCUUCUUUCUGGAUGGUUUCCUGUUUUUCAACCAGAUGCCAGUUCAUUUCCCUGACCCAGCAGAGGAAGAUGGUUUAUGGCCUCUUCUGUUACAUACUUAUGAGAGCAGGAGCUUGCAUCAUUAGUUUUCUCCCAUCCCAAGAAAAUAGCCAUUACAAGCUUAAAUAAAAAUUAGUGGCCAAAAAGUCACUUCACUAUGUACAUUUCCAUUCCCAGAAGAAAAGCAUGUUAGAAAGCAUCACAAAUAAGAGGCACAACUCAUGCUGCUAGCAGUGGAGAGAGACAGCUGAUGCCUCCGAUGAUUACAUUUCUCUUGUCAUCAGAUAUGUUCAGCAGAGAUGAAAAAUUCAUUUCAUGAUGAAAAUCCUUUGUUAAAGCCUCUCUCUUGCAGAGAGAGUGCUGUAGCCCAAUCUGCUUAGCACACCACAUGCCUAGCAGUGACCAUGGGAGACAGCAUUUGAUGUGAGCUACAGUCUGAAAACAGGAUGGUGUAGUCAGAGAGUUAUUCCAAUUAGCUUUCCCUGGUUAAGAUUCAUUUUUACUUUUGAUAAAAUAGAUUAAGUUGAUCAUUCAGAAAUUCAGCCUUCUUGCCAUCCCAUUACACUCUUAUCAGUGGCAGUCAAAAAUACUAGGAAAGACAAGUUUUAAGGAAUGAGCUGGAGAAUGAUUUGAACUGGCUUAAAAAGUUACUACUGCUAUACAUGUUUGCUCCCCCCAAGGCCUCCCGGUCCUUGCUAUCAGCUCCACUGUGCUCUGCACCUGCUGCACAUUCUCUCAUUUCAGGAUAAUUUGGCAUCCACAAAACACUACUGUCAGGAAUUUGCUGCUGCUCCUGGCAGGUAGAAGCACGCUCAGCUUUGCAGCUGUUUACUGUACAUCUACUAAAGUUUUCAGAGGCUGUAGAGGCAGGAGAAGCAUAAAAAAAAAAUUUCCAUCCUUUCCAUCACUACUGCAAUGUGUCAAAUCUCCAGCAGGUGCAAACAAGCAUGAGAUUCUGCACCUUGUGUCACCACCUGCUCUGAGCUUUAGUCACUCAAUUCAGCCCAAAUCCUCAUGAACAUCUAACCAGAGCUUCCUCAUGCAUAUUCUCCACAUCUAAAUGAUCAAACUAACAUUCUGCUGGGCAGCACUUCUUUCUUGAUAACUGUCUGGAAGGGCUUCCAACUUGUCCACUAUCUUUUAUGCUCAGAGCUAGAGCUGACCGCUACCCAGGGCAGCUAAUCCAUACAAACUCCUUCAUUUUCUGGUGUGGCAGCACAGAGAUGCAGGAGUGCUCCAUGCCCCAUAUACACCUUUCCUCUUCUCUCCACAAGCAUCCUCCUGGGAUGCUCUUACUGCUGGCCCAAAGCAGUCAGAGCUGGUUUAUCAAGAGUCCUGUUACACAGGAGGUGCUGAGGGGAACAGAGGGGUUGGAGCUGGCAAUAAACAUUUAUUUUAUAGUACUCUAGGUAAGGUCAAUGUACUGGAAGAUGAGGAGAGGGGAAAUAAGCACUUACCCAGCCAAUUACUGUACUUCACAGCCUUUCCUCUCCCACACAUCACACCUUUUCAUGUGACACUGAAAAAGUCACUUAAGAAGGUGGCAAUGAAUCAAGCAAGAUACUCCUUAUCUCUGAGCCUGAAGAGCUGCUGGAAAUCACUCCUUCAGGGAAAGGGAUGGUGCUCUGCCAGAUCUACAUUGCCAGUGGCCUUCGUAACAAGGGUUGGGGAGUUCUCCCAUAGCAUCAGCUAGGACAGAACAUUGCCUUAUGCUUCACUGUUUGGGGUGAAUGACCUUAAAUUGCACCAGGGAAGGCUCAGGUUGGAUAUUAGGAAGAAUUUAUUCUCAGAGUGGUGAGGUGCUGGAACACGUUGCCUAGGGAGGUGGUGGAUUUGCUAUUCCUGGUGGUGCUUAAGGAAAGGGAAUAAUACUAAGGGACAUGAUUUAGUUGGCAAUAUUGGUGGGAGGUGGACAGUUGGACUAUAUGAUCUUAGAAGUCUUUUCCAACCUCAGUGAUUCUACCUGAGACCUUAGCUCUAGGAUUGCAGCCAUAAACCACAAAGAUCUUGAAGAGUAUCUGGAGAUUAUGGGGAAUGUACCAGGUUUCCCUAGAGGAUGCUGGAAGUAAACCAUGCAGAAAAAGCAAUACAUCAUGCCAUCACCCCCCCCCCCCACCUACCAUACAAGUAGGCUGCUGGGAGAGCAUUUAUAUCCCCCCCUCCCAACACUCAACAGCAACAUCACCUGGGGCAGCCACAUUACCCACCCAGAGACAGGUGAGGGUGUUUUAGGCAGCAGCAGUGUGAACCCAGCUGGAAUCAUUUACACAAGAGACAUGGCUGCACCUCAGAGUUUUAGUAGUCAAAAAAACAGUAUCUGCAAAAUGACUAUUUUGUGUUUAAACUAAGACUGGUAGUGCCAGGAGGGAUGGUGACUCAGAGGCCUCAUACCCGUUCCUCCUCAGAGCCUGCAUUUGCGUCAUCCUGCGUCAAGCACCAAGCCAGCUCCGCUUUACUACUGCAGAAACCUGUUUUUCAUGUCCUUGUUUCCUGCCUGAUGGUUUCUUGUGUAGGUGGCAGCAGAAGUCUAUCACACAACAUCGCAGAGCCUGUCCGAGGAGAGUGUUGCACUGGGAUGAUUUCAUUUCUGUUUGAGCUGGUUUUUAUUGCACUGACGAUACUGGUACUUUAUCCCUCUGGUUUAGCCUGAAUGGAUUUUUGAGCUCACAUCCCAAAAUGAGAGAAGAAAACAGCUCUGAGGCACUUCUAAAAUAAGAAGAGUCCAUCAGCAACUUCACAAUGACUUUACAUCCAUGCCUUAUGUUUCCAUGUGCAUCAGAUCCUUUAGGGCACGUUGGCUUCCUGCAUUUCCCACUGUCCCUCAGAAAGAGACUGCCAAGGUAAAUAUUAUUAACCCACCAAACCCAAUACGGUGUCAAUCCUAGUCACUGUACCAUCCUUCAGGUGUAUUUUCUCCAAAUGAAAUUCAAGUAGAAAGGGGGUUAGGAAAUGGAUUGCAUUUCCUCCUUCCCCAUAGGCGCAGUCCGCUUUAUAAAGGAACAUACUCAGAACAAGGCCUAGAUGCACCUAGCAAGGGCUAUAACUGGUCUGAUGAAAACAUACCGCUUUCAGUAAAGGCUACUGGGCCUUAGGAGGGCAUCUGUAAUGUGCCAACAUACAAUUCUACCAGAGGAAAAUUAAACAUGAGACAUGGCUGCUCCCAAAGCCGGCUUUGCCUGAGCCCGCCUGGUCUGCAGAAGGGGUUCUGAUGCACCUGUAUCCAGGUAACACUUCAGGCAGGAGACAGCAGUGCCCUCGCUGGGCUUCCAGCCUGUCUCUGUGCUGACACACAGAACAGGUCUAUUGCCCUCUUUGUGUGUCUGCUCACUCACCUGUGGAGAGGAUAAUUUUCCUUCAUUUCUCUCAGAAAACAGGAGGUUAACUUCAGGAAAGCUAGAAUUUUUCUGAUGGAAGGUAGAGCAACAGAACAAAAUAUCUGUGGACAUUAAAUGAGGGAAACUUGAAGACCUACGUGCCAUUCCUCUUCAUUCAAAGGGCAAUGAAUCCAAGCUCCGUACCCUUUUCUGAAGUUUAUUAAUAAGGUUUGGAAAUGCAUUGUGUGAUGGGAGUCAUCAUUCCAAUAUUGCUCCACAGUGCCAAGCCAAAAUACCAGUAAAUUAAAACCCUUUUUAUCAGUACAGUGGAGGGACCUGCCAGUGAAUGAUCUCCCAUCCACUUUGUAGGACUGAUUACAGAUAGAAAUGGGCAGCCUGCUGGAGAGGACAGCUCCAGCUCCUUAAAACCCCAGGUGACCUGCUGCCAAUGUUUCCUUUCUCCCACUUGCUUUACAUUUUGUUGUAGCUUCUUGACCUCAUUAGAAAACUCUAAGACCCAGUUUGGGACUGAGGUUGGUAGAAAAUUGAACUGGACCCAAGGAAUAUUCAAUCAAAACAACACAGUCACCAGAAAGCCUUCACAGAGUUAAACAGGAAAAUAACUUUGCUGCUGGCAUUCAGCUCUGAAAAAUGUGCAUGGAUAAGGGGAUUUGCAGCACAUGAUGUGCAUGAGAUCUGUGCAGGCCAUCUGAAGCAUCCUGGCUUGUUUGCUCCUGGAGCACCACGGCUAGAAUGAGUGCCUGUCUCCAAGGGGCUGCCACCACUGCAGCAGGAACUAGUUUUGGCAGCCUUUGCUUUGCUGCUUCAAAAGCAGUGACACGUUUCCAGCCAUUGCUGCUCAAAGUUAAAAGCUUGUCAUAACAUGUCAGGUGGCGAGGCUGCAGCACGAGGCUGAUGAGACAACUUUCAGUCCACUGCAGACAGCCUGCUCUGGGUGCUGAAGGGAUGGAGAGCUGGCAUCUGAGUACCGAGAAAAGGCUUCCUCUGCUUAUGGCAGAAUCUCUCUCCCUCCUCUUGCCAGGGGCUCCAGUUGGAAAUUUGGACAAAUUUUUGUUUUAAAAAGUAUAAUCAUUUCUCUUGUUAGAAACAUUUCUGCAAGCUUCACAAUUGAGUGAACAGUGAAACCAGAUUUCCACCAAUACUCCCCCCCCCAAAAAAAAAA